rnacentral:misc_RNA from 1 species
UCUCAACAUUAUCUUCAAAGC